AUCUAGAUGACGAGUCUCAAAUAGGACAAAAUGCACGUCUUAUAU
rnacentral:hammerhead_ribozyme from 1 species